UACGUAGGGUGCUAGCGUUGUUCGGAAUCAUUGGGCGUAAAGCGCGUGUAGGCGGUUAGUUAAGUCGGGUGUGAAAUCCCUGGCUCAACCGAGGAAGUGCAUCCGAAACUAACUAGCUAGAGAAUGGUAGAGGAAGGUGGAAUUCCGUGUGUAGAGGUGAAAUUCGUAGAUAUACGGGAGGAACACCGAUGGCGAAGGCAAUCCCCUGGGCCUGUACUGACGCUCAUGCACGAAAGCGUGGGGAGCAAACAGG
rnacentral:rRNA from 1 species